rnacentral:rRNA from 1 species
AUCUAUCCAUGGCCAGGAUGAAGGUACCGUAACAGGUGCUGGAGGUCCGAACCGACUAGUGUUGCAAAACUAGCGGAUGAGCUGUGGAUAGGGGUGAAAGGCUAAACAAACUUGGAAAUAGCUGGUUCUCUCCGAAAACUAUUUAGGUAGUGCCUCAAGUAUUACCUGCGGGGGUAGAGCACUGUUUAGGCUAGGGGGUCAUGGCGACUUACCAAACCUUAGCAAACUCCGAAUACCGCAGAGUACAGCUUGGGAGACAGAGCACCGGGUGCUAACGUCCGGACUCA